ACCCUAAAAAUGAUAACAACAACACACUAGUUUUACAUUGUUACCAAAUUCACUUUUAACCCUAAAAUUCACUUCCAAACCCUAAACCGCGUCGUCAGCUUCACCUUUACCUUCGAACCCUUCCUUCGUCAUUCAUCAUCAUCUUCAUCGCACCUAGCCUUCAUCGCUUUCAUUAUCAUCUUCAUCACUGCCCUUCAUCGCCUUCAUGGUCAUCUUCAUCAUUCAUUACAGUGAUCUUCCUCGAGCUUGUCGUCGCCGUCACCGUCAGUAGUCGUUGUCUUCCUCGACGCUGCUUUCAAAGGGUUUUGAAUGGAUUUUCCUUGAAAGGUUCAGAAAACCCUAACCUCCAUCACGCCACCAUCUUUCUCACCGUUGCCACCUUUUGCGCUCAAGAUCGCAACCAGGUUCGUUGUUGUGUUAACUAGCUCACCAUUCCUCUUGUUGUUUUGCUUGUCGUCCUUCUCGCCAUUCAGAUCAUCGUGCUGCUCGCCUCUCUCUCGUGGUUAUGCUCACCGUGCUGCUCGAAGAUAACUGGAGUGUGAAGGCCAUCCGCAGAAAGACCACCGGCACUGGCAGGAUGAGCUACCUCCAUCACGUGCCUUGCCGAUUCAAGAGCGGCUUCAGAGAAAGUACUGAAGUUGCAUCAAUGAGUCUUAGGAAAUAUGUGUUGCUAAUAAGAAAUAAAAAAUAAUGCAGUAAAUGAUGGAGAUGGAAUGCCAGAGAUGGAAGUAAAGGCAUAAACAUAACAUACCAAAUAUGAGAGAACAGAACAGGAUACAAAACAGGUGCACUUAAAGAAGGUUUAAAGCGUAGCUAUGUCAAACACUGAAUAUGUUGCAAUAUUCGAUGCUGAUUUUCGGCCUGAACCUGAUUUCUUGAGAAGAGCCAUUCCCUUCUUGAUUGGCAAUCCUGACAUGGCUCUUGUUCAAGCUCGUUGGAGAUUUGGUCAAUGCGGCUCUCUAGUUUGAAUGGAGCAAGAUCCAGAUGCCUACAGAUGAAGUUGUUGUGCCUUAUAAGUUAUGACAGUCUAGCUCCAACUACUCCUGAAGGUAAGUUUCUUUUUUGCAUUUUUCUUUUGUCUGAUUAGUUGAUUUGAAUCUAAUGUAGCUAAUCAAUGUAUUUGCUGCCUGAACUGAAACUGGUGUAGCCUCUUCCGAGGUGAAGAGCCUCUUGGACAAACUUAUGGUGCUUAAGCUCAAUGGAAACUUGGAGACAACUAUGGGUUGCACUGGUCCAAAAUAUGCUGAAUCUGAUUUUAUUAUUUUACUUGUUUAUUGUAAUUAUUUGUAUUUUUUUAUGCUUAGUUUAGAUGCGGAAUUUUCAGUAUGUAAUUACUUGGUUACUGGUUCGUGCUUCUUUGAUACUUAUCACAAUGAUUAGUCUGAUAAACUUUAUUGACUAGAAUUUGGAACAUCACUAGGCAUUUCAAUUGGUUUUUCAGCUUGGUUAUUUAAUCACCAGUAAAAAGACAAAAAUUAAAAAAUAAUUUCCUUUCAAGCUAGACUUCGUCACUUUAUUAUUAGUAUUAUCAUGAAAGUUUAUAGAUUCGUGAACGAGAAAAAUUAUGGAAACUAUUUUUUAAUAUAUUACAUCACAUUGUUCCAUGCCAUGUAUGUAAGUCUUAAUUUAUGUAUAAAUGUAAUGCAGAUCUGUCAUUGAAGUUCGUGAUGGGCUGACUUCUCUUGAUUUAGUUGUUAUCCAAAUUGAGGUGACUCCCAAAACAUUGGCUGAUGUGAAGCAUGGCACUUUGAUUUCUUAUGAAGAGUUCAGGCACGUAACCAUUGCUGCAUCACCACUUCUAAAUCAAGAUUUAGCUGAUUAAAUCUGUACUGUGAUGGUUGCAAAUUGGCCACAAAUUUAAUAGUUUUAAUGAUCUUCUAAGUUCUAAUGGUGAACUUAUUUUGUCCUAAUUCAGUUAUUAGUUUUGUUAAAGUAUUGUGAUUUUUUAAUUAUAAUUAUAGCAUGUAAAUAAUUCAUGUAAAUCAAUAAAAAAUCAAUUUUU